CAGGUAGUACGAGGCGAGGCUUAGUGGGAAGUCCCUGCCAGUAUCAAUUCUCACACUAGACUGAAAGCUCAGACAUUAAACAUUCACCAGCAGAGACGUGAGAGAGAACACAGUGAACACAGAUUGUGACCAGGGGAAGAUCCAAUGUAAAGGACACCAGGAAAAAAUUACAAACAGGACAUUUUUAUCAUAUGAUGGGGCUGUGAGCACAGCUCUUAGUGGGUAUCCUAUUAUACAGCCCUGGCUAAGUGCGAGGAUUAUUAUACAGCCAUGGAUGAGUGAAGCUGUAGUUACAGAGCUGCUGUGCAGAUCGUCUCUGAAUGUUUUCGACAGUGAGACAGUGCUGUACAGUCCUCAUUGCUGGAGACAUUGACCACACAGGAGCCGUUGCUUAUAAUGAACUGCAGGGCGAGUUGGAACCCACUUCCAAAAGUUUUCAGCUGAUGGUUGUUUCGAGGGAGAUGCAGCGAUCACUGUCUUAAUGUGCCAAACGCAGGCAGUCUGGUUACAUAUUAUGCAAGAAACACAACUCUAAAUUCAAGUUAUAUUUUAAUGUGGUGAAACUGAAGAUCCAUCUAGAUUGUUCGUUCCCAUAGAAAUAGGAUCCUCAACUCCUCUUAUUUGUUUGUCAAAUUUUAUUUUGUCUGUUAGAUGUAUUGUACCUUUGUCUUUUUACUUGUACCAAUUGUAACCAUGAGCAGCAUGGCAGAAUGUGUUGGUG
rnacentral:lncRNA from 1 species